UGGCAUUGAACGGCGUGUCCGAUUAAUGCAUUUUUUGUCCCAAUUGCCCUUCGUCGUGCUGCCAUUUUGAAAUUGAACACAACUCAUACAAAAACCCUCGUCUCACAACAAAGGCAUUGUAGAAGAAGUGGUUGCGUAUAAUCCAGCGACGGAAUUCUAGUCAAAGAGAACCAAUUGCUGCCGCACCAGCAAGCUAAUGUCGACCUCAACUAACGAAGUUGACGUGAUACCCGAGUGUCUUUGUGGUGGUGGGAAGAUGAAUUUAUUUUGUGCUGGGAAGGAUGCCAUACACAGUGGACGAUACUUCUACAAAUGUCCUACCAAUGAAAAACAUUUGCGGUCAUUUUUAUGGUGUGACGGCUAUCAUAGUAAGAUUGGAGAUGACAAGCAACCAAAUUUUGUUUUGAAUCAAGAGUAUCGUCCAGCUAAAACAGUAAGAAACAAUGAUGCAGAGAAAAAAAAAGGCUAUCUCACAAAGGACACGGUUGUGGAUUUUGUGGCCGAUGUCAAGCUGAAUGGAGGAUGAACUAUGUGUUGGUUUUCAUGGGUGUAGUGUUGUUGUUGCUAGGAGUUAUUUUAGGGAAAUUGUUCUAGUUACCUAUUUUACUUUGUUGCAAUCUGGAUCAUUAGCUUAAUUUUAAUUUUCAGUUUGUGUGAGACUAUAUAGAUCUAUUUUGUGAUGUACUCCAUGAUAUCUAUGCAAUGAACUAUGGCAACAA